CCCGGCCCGGCCCCGCCUCCGCGGCCGGCAGCCGGCCCCCCGCGAGCCGGCGGGGAGCGGGGCGGCUGCACGGAGCCGCAAGUUUUGCCCGGAGUGGGAAAAGUUGGGCUCGGACGCGAUUACUCCGAGGAGGAUAACGUGAAGUCAUUCACUGAAGAUUAUGGCAUUGCAUGAAAGGAAUGUAACAUCGGGCCAUAAAUUAACAGAAACGGGAAAAACUCAUUCUCAGCUCCUGCUCGUUCAUCCAGCACCUUGCACGUGACCCCUUUGUGCCAAGGACUUGGAGUGCACGAAUGUAUCUUUGGCAACAGCAGAACCUGCCACGCCACGCACGUGGCGCGGAGAUAAUGGGCAAAGACAAGUUCCCCGUCCUCUUGUAAUUGCAGAUUCCUGGAAAUUUGAGGAGCGGUCUUCAGCAGCCGAAGAAUGCCGUUCCCCCCGGAUCUGUGGGUAUCAGGGGAACAGAAGCAGGAUCAGUUGGUGUCCAAGAAUGAUAUCCCUCGAGACACUGCAGCUGGUAAUUACAACUUCUGGGUAAAGCAAGGGAAGGAAGAUGGAUCACGAAGGUACAGCCAGCCCUGUUUGGGGAAGGAUAAUGCAGGUAGCAUAAAUGCUAGCUCCUGCAUGAGCUCACAAAUCCAGCUCUGGUCCUGGAUUUACAGCACAAGAGCCUCGUGCUCCCCCAGCUUGGAGCAGCAGGGAGAAAAAUACGAGGCACAACUUGAAGAGAUUCAGGAGCACUCUGGAGUGAACCGGCAGGAAGCCUUGUAAUACAGCUGUGGCAAUGAGAGUGGCUGUCCUCGGGAGAUGCUGCAGCUCAGCUUUAUCAUGAUUUUCUUACACCUCCCAACAUACACACAAAGGACUUAAUUUUGUUCAGGAUUGGUGUGGUGUAAAAUAGUCAUGGAGAUGUACGCAUGUCAGCCUGAAUGCUCCUCAGUGGGGCUUUGUUGCUCUCUAGCUCAGAGGAUUGCUUAGAGCUGUGGGAGCUCAGUGCGCGCUGUGCGUGUCUCAGGAUAGGGAGGGAGCACGACCAAAACUCUGAGGACAAAAGAAAGCGAAUGGAAAAUAUCUGGUAAGAUUUUUCUAUGAACUGCUGAGCUCUUCCAAGUGGGGGAUGAAAAGGAUUAAAAGUGAGGAGUUUUAAAGACAAAUUGAAGUUGAUGUUUGAACUCUCAGUCCAGGAAACUCCAGCGACAAACUGAAUGGAAAGUUCCCCAGUGAAGUCCACAAAGAAUCUUCAAAGACAAAUCUGAAUGGAGAACAGCAAGGAUUUACAUCUUUGUAUACAGGAACCAAGUAAUUACUGGCAGCCGGAAAAGAAAUUCCAGAUUUUUGGCAGUAAAAAGGAAGUGGUCCGGCUCAGAGACUUGGACUGAGUAGUUUUUAAGUCUUUGAGGAACAAAUCUAAUGUUUUGGAUACAUACAAUAGAACAAAUUUGUGGAAAUGCUGAGGUGGGAAAUGAAAUGUAUUGGUUAGGGCUUGAAAAUAUGUAUACCAAUAUUUGGUUUCUUUGAGUACAUUUUCAGGCUGGAACGAUAUCUGAAAAUAUCUCAAAUGCAUUACUUAUAGCGAGCAAGCUAAUGGCCUACAGAGGAAUGUACAAGUUCCCACUUCACAUCGUGGUCUUGUCAAUCGAUUUGAAAGCAAGGUUUAUUUUGAUUAUUUUAACAAAAAUGCAAUUUCUGUUUUUCAUUUCAAUCUAAAAUGAGAGGGACUGUACUGUAAUCAUCACCUGUAAUACAGUGUGAGCAGUUUGAAAAAUAUGUUUGGAUUUUAGGUGCAUGAAAGUUUACAGUGGUUCCUUGGUUGCUGUGGGUGAGAUUUUGUUUUUAUUUUUUGUUUUGGUUUAUUUUUAUUUUUAUUUUUUUUUGCUUCUUUGGACCUCUCAGCAGCAUUGUUAUGAUUGAUCAUGAUAUCUUUUUGAUCUAUUUGAUAUUGCUGGCCUCGUCUCAGGCAGCAUUAGACUGGUUUUAUUCCCCUCCUUCCCUCUCUAAUCUGUAUUUGUGUCUAGCAGAGGGGGGGGCCUCUCCUAUGGGAAAAAAAAGGAGGCAGUAAGGAUCUCACUUUGGCCCAUUUGAGUCAAGAGACCCAUAGCACGCAAAGAUUUCUCAUGAGGCCUUUACAGGCUUUUUCAUAUUGCUGUUUUAACAUCGUUUUCUAGUUCUGCAGAGAUGUGAGACUGAGUCAUGGGUUGUGUGCUCUGAGGUUUAUAAAGAGCCAAAAUCCUGGUAGAGCUGGUGUAAUUGGCUGGACCUGUGUGUCCUUAAAGCGCUCCCCUCCCGCUGUUUCCCCCUCCUGAACUUUUAAGAAACAAUUGAAGUGUCUGGUUCCAUUUCACUUCAGGUUAACGCGAAAGAACGGUGAAUGUGUAUGAACAUCACCAGCAGGGCUGGUUCACCUGCCUUAGCUAUCUAGCAUGGUUUUAAAUGUCUGAAUUUGGACUGAAACACCAAAAGGUACGUGCAGGGGAAGGAUGCUUCAUUUUUCUUCAAGCCUUUUUGUUAGCUGGCUUCUAGGACUUACCUGUACACGACCUGUUUCUGGAUGUGCAAAUAUAACAGAAGUUUCCAAAAAUAAUUCUAAAUUCUGUUUUAAUAAUAACAUAACAGGGUUUAUGCAUAGACAAGUACGUGAAGUUUGUUGAGAAUAAAACCCUUUUGUGGAAAUAUUCUCUACUUGAAUGGGCUUCUGAUAACUGUGCUUGCAUCCAGACUGUGACUUGUGCAUGGACAGUGGGGGGCAAAUCCGCAGCACAGGUGCUGGAACUCAGCCAGGAUAUGGGAGGCUGAAAUGAAUGUCUCUGAUCCACCUGGUUCCAAAAUGAAAGCAGUUCUUGAAAUCUUGACAUCUUCUACAAAAACAGAAGAAUCCCACCCUGUGCGUGCUGUUCACCCCCUCUAACUUCCCAUAUUCUGACCAACUUCACUCCAUUGCUUGUUUAUGGAAAGACAGUAGCUUUAUCAUCUGAAGACCUUGACAUACACCCUGCUUGAGAGUCUAUUUUCCUAAUUAAACCUGUUUCUCAUUUUGUAAGUGUAUAGAAGCUUCCAAUUAUGCUUGGGAUACACCUUUCUUGUGGGAAAGAAGAUGGUGAAAAAAGAGAAUUAAGAGUAGAUCAUAUGCAGAAAAGAAAGUAGAGAACUUUUCAGAGAGCCAAAAGGACAAAUGUAAAGCCGAUGAUGCUGUCAGUCCUAUGGAGAUCAACAUUCAAGAGACAGGGCUGUCCUGUUCUGUGGUUGUGUAUUGUCUUUUG